rnacentral:misc_RNA from 1 species
CACUCUACUAGCUGGUAGAGCGCCCCCUGAUAUGGUGAGGUCGGCAAUUCAAAUCUGCACCUACCCACCAGUUACCUGGUGAACUCCCACCUGAGCUAUGGCACCGUAUCAUACGUGUCGUACGCGCUCUGACCAACUUCACCUGGCUUGUGGUGGGUCUGGACCGAUUCGAUCUGCCUUGCUCACCCUUAUUACGGCUGCUGUCUAAAAACUUAAAAUAGAGAAUUCCAUCCUGAUGGGAAAAUGCAAAAA